ensembl:snRNA U6 U6 spliceosomal RNA
UUGCUUUGGCAGCACAUAUACUAAAACUGGAAUAAUACAAAGAUGUUUAGCAUGGCCCCUAUACAAGGAUGACAUGCAAAUUAGUGAAGCAGUCCAUAUUUUA